GGGACGUGGCUGCGAUGUAGAGGAAGAGGCCGUAGAGGACGGGCUUCGGGAUCCACUGCAGAGGGAUGGGCAGCAUGAAGGCAGACAGACCGAUCAGGAUGUUCGCCGCCAGAGAGGUGUGCACAUACCGAUGAGCCCCGUGUAGGCGAGGAGGCAGGCGCCGUAGUUGCCUUGCUUGCAGCCGCUGGCAGACGCUUCGGAGGGUUCGCAGUCGUACUGAAACUGUGCCAGACGAGACCUUCAGAAGAAGCAAUCACUGGCUGAAUCAUCGGCAACUACAUCAGACGGCUUGAUUGGAGCUGCAACAAUCAGUUCAGACUGCUGCAACGCUCACCAGCGACAUUCUUUAGAGGCAUGAGGCACGGAUCCAUCCUGCUAGCACACCCUUGGUUACUUGAUAAACACAGCGCUGUAUUUAAAUAUGACAUGCUUCUCACUAACACCUGCCUGCAUUUAUGAUGAUGCACCACG